rnacentral:rRNA from 1 species
UACAGGGGGUGCAAACGUUGCUCGGAAUUAUUGGGCGUAAAGCGCACGUAGGCGGUUUGUUAUGUCGGAUGUGAAAGCCCUUGGCUCAACUGAGGAAGUGCAUCCGAAACUGGCAAGCUAGAGUAUGUAAGAGGGUCGCGGAAUUCCCGGUGUAGAGGUGAAAUUCGUAGAUAUCAGGAGGAACACCAAUGGCGGAGGCAGCCCGCUGGGACGUGACUGACGCUGAGACGCGAAAGCGUGGGGAGCAAACAGG